GUGCAACACAAAAAAUCUUAGCAACUUCACUUUACUGGAAAGACAAUUGAAUAUACAUGGAAAUGACAAUUGAAUCUACAUGGAAAUGAGCUAUUGCAAAUCAUGUAGUUCAGAAACAUAGACACGGUCUGAGUGGUUUACUAGGUUUAGAUCAGCAUGUAAAUCUUUUGUUUCUUUUCUAUUAUGUAUUCCAAUGCUUGAAUAUUGGUCUUAUUAACGAACCAUCUAUUUGAAAAGUCAGUCCAGAUCUUGGAGCAUGAACGUGGGCAAUAUGACUUGCAACAUCAGGCUAAGGGACCGGCUGGGUUGCACUUGACAUCCAACCAGGUAUGACACUUUAAGCGGGUGACAUCAGUCCUUGGAGUGGCUGUAAUAAGAAUCAUUUCAAAAUUGUCACUAAUUUAAAAAGAAAUGCACAAAAAGUUUAACUGGUAUAACUUAUGCCAUUAAACCCCAAAUGAAAUACACCUAUUACAGGAGCCAUUGCACUACCCACUGUGAAAAGUUACA
rnacentral:lncRNA from 1 species